AUUGUUUGCUUCUGGGUUGUGUGUCUGUUCGACGUUUAGCAUCUCUCUCUGGCCGAGAGAUUCUUUGCGUUUCUCAAGCAAUCCCAGCAAACUGUUUAAGGUGGGCUAGGGUUUAGGGUCUUGAAUCGGAUUGGCAGAUAUUAGAGUAAAUUCCCAGGUGUCUAGGUGGAUUAUAUUGAUGCACUAAGCAUGGGAUUUGAUAAUGAAUGCAUACUGAACAUCCAAUCUCUUGCGGGGGAGUAUUUUUGCCCGGUGUGUCGUCUUCUCGUCUACCCAAAUGAAGCAUUACAGUCACAGUGCACUCAUCUAUACUGUAAGCCGUGCUUGACAUAUGUCGUGAGCACUACCAAAGCGUGUCCAUACGAUGGCUACUUAGUGACAGAAGCCGAUGCGAAGCCCCUCGUUGAAUCAAAUAAAGCGCUCGCUGAAACCAUAGGGAAAAUAGCAGUUCAUUGCCUGUAUCACAGGAGUGGGUGCACAUGGCAGGGGCCUUUAUCUGAUUGCACAUCUCAUUGUUCUGGUUGUGCCUUUGGAAAUUCUCCUGUAGUCUGCAACAGGUGUGGAAUCCAAAUUGUGCAUCGUCAAGUGCAGGAACACGCACAAAGUUGCCCUGGUGUGCAGCCCCAAGCACAGCAGGCAGAGGGUGUUCCAGACACUUCAGCCUCUGGCACAGCUGCUACUGCCAAUCAGAACCAGGCUGCCACUCAGACAGGUACAGUGACGUCUCAGACACAGGCUCCCCAAACUGCAAGUGCCACUAUACCUGGAGCUGAUUCGAAUUCUCAGGCUCAAGCCGUUGUUCAAGCUGCUGCUCCGACUGCUGACCAGUGGUAUCAGCAACAAUAUCAGCAGUACUACCAGCAGUAUCCUGGAUAUGAUCCAUACCAACAACAGUAUCAGCAGUACUAUCCCUAUCAGCAGCCAGCAAUUCCACAACCACAGCAGCCUUUGCAGGCUAAUCCACCCUAUGGGACUGUUCAGCCUCAACCGCAGGCAUACCUGCAACCUCCGCUCCUAUCUCAACCUCAACCUCAACCACAGACCCAACCAUCUCAAUCUCAAGCUCAACCCCAACCACAAGUUCAGCCCCCAAUUAUGCAGGCUCCUAUGGCUGCGCAUACUCAAAACCAGACAUCAGUCAAUCAACAGCUUCAACUUCAGCCUGCUAUGGCACCACAUUCACAAAUUCAAGCACAGUCUUACCCAUCAGCUCAUGGGCAGGCUCAACUUCCACCUCAAGCAUAUUUCCAAGUCCAAAUGCCUCAAUAUCAGCAGCCACAAGUUCAGCAGCUUACACAGUCCCAGCUUCAACAGAAUCCCCAACUUCACCCGUCUCAGCCCAUGAAUGCUACAGUCCAGUCCCAGACACAGCUCCCAUCAUCUAAUUCAUCGACUGGCAAUCAUUUGUUCCCUCAAUCUCACCUUCCUCAACCAGUGCUCUCAGCAGCCUCCCAACAACGUACUAUGCAGGUGCAAUCUCAAGGAGUGCCCAACUCUCAGUCGCAAAACCAUGUUCAGACUCAGAUUCAGUUCCCUCAGCAACCCCUUUUGCGACCACCCCCGUUUCAAACAAUAGUUCCAAACCAGCAGCAGACAGCCUUGUUGCCUUCAUCUAACGUUAUCUCUGCACAACAGCCUCCAGUUCACUCCUUUGCUCAACAAUCUGGAAUUCCUGUUCUCCAGCGCCCUGCAAUGCAGCCAGUCCAACAGCUAAAUCCUCAGCAAUAUUUCCACAUACAACAGACACCCCCCACAUUGUCGCAAUUACGUCCCCAGGGCCAAUCUCAAUCAUUCCCACAACAUAUUCGUGCCUCGAACCAGUCUCAGCAGAAUGUUGUAUUGUCUCAGGGCAUGCAACAUAUUCAGCCCUCAAAUCUUGUGGGACGGCCUAUGAUGCCAAGUCAUGGAGUACUACCUCAGCCAUAUGCACAAACAGUAGGAGGAGUUCUGCCAAGACCAAUGUAUCCUGCUCUAAACCAUCAAUCUACAAAUCAGAAUAAUAUAGGCAGAACCAACAACCAAGUGCAACUGGGAGCAAAUUCAAGACCAACAAUGACCGCAAGGCCAGCAGAGAAAGAAGCUGAGUUACCCGCUAAUAAUGUUGCACAGAAUUUGGGUGUAUUGUCUGCUGUAGGUGCUGAUUCCGAGGUUAAAACUGUGAAAUCUGAGGUGGAUAUGAAGUCCAUUGAUGUUGGAAAUAAACUUUCUUCUGAAGAUAGAAGUUAUCAGGGUAAUACAUCUGCCAAAGAGAUUCCGGAGUCUAGGGGGAUGUUGGGGGCGAAUGGAGAGUCUGAAAGUAAGCCAACAUUGAAGGAAGAGGGUGUAAAUAGUACUUUGGAGGAUUCAAGUAAUGAUAAAUUGGGUGAACUUGUAGCUGAAGGUGCAAAAGAUGGUCCCAGCAGUGGCAUGAAACAGGGGGAGCGUAAAGAAAUGCCAUCAGAAGAAGCACAACUUCAUGGAGUAAAGGAUCAAAAAUUGCAAAAAGAUGCUAGUGGCACCGAGGAGGGUUCCCAAACUGUUUCUACUUCUUCAGCUCCUAUAGGUCAAGUACAAGCUGGCGGCUUAAUGCAACCUUCAUAUCCUGGUUCUGCUAUACUCCAGCAAAGGCCAGGUGCACCUCCUUCGUUACAAGUGCCUUCUUCAGGGCCUCCACAUCAUAUACCGGGUUCUGGACAACCCUUAAUUCAUGCAAGGCCUCAGGGACCUGGACAUGUGCCUGGGCAGGCUUCUCAUCUAUCUGAGCACUUUCAAUCACCUAGGGGAAACCUGGGAUUUGCAGCAUCAUCUGCAAGUGCAAGUCAGCAUGGGCCUUAUAACCAAAGCCAUGCGCCUCCUCAUCCAGGGGCACCCAGAGGUCCACCAUUUGGAGCACCCCCUAGUGCUUUUGAUUUUCAUGGGGGUAUAAUGGCCCGAGCAGCACCCCAUGGCCAUGAAGGUCAGAGGGGGGGUCAGCAGCGGCCGGCUUUUCAGAUGGAACAGGGAGCAACUGGACAGCCAUCCUCAAACAUGCUCAGAAUGAAUGGAAAUCCAGGCUUCGAAUCCUUAUCAACUCCCGGGUUGAGGGAUGAAAGAUUUAAGGCUUUGCCGGAUGGGAGGUUGAAUCCCUUCCCAGGAGACCCAACUCGUGUGAUUAAUCGAUUAGGGUUUGAAGAUGAUCUCAAGCAAUUCCCUAGGCCUUCUUAUCUGGAUUCUGAGCCUCUUCCAAAAUUAGGGAGUUACUCCUCUAGAGCCUUCGAUAGGAGACCUCUUGGAGUCAAUUAUGAUACUCGUCUAAAUUCAGAUCCUGCAGCUGGCUCUGCUCCAAGGUUCCUUUCUCCCUAUGGUCAUGGUGGAUUAAUUCAUGCCAAUGAUACAGGUGGUCACCCAGAUUUUGGUGGACAGCGCCUUAUGGAUGGUUUGGCUCGACGAAGUCCAGUCAGAGAUUACCCUGGCAUCCCAUCUCGUGGAUUUAGGGGAUUUGGCCCUGAUGAUUUUGAUGGCAGGGAUUUCCAUCGAUUUGGUGAUCCGCUUGGCAGGGAAUUCCAUGAGAAUAGGUUUCCUAAUAUGCACAGUCAUUUUCAUAGGGGUGAGUUUGAGGGUCCUGGUAAUAUGCGAAUGGAUGAUCAUAUGAGGAGCGAUUUGAUUGGUCAAGGUGGUCACCCUGGUCAUCUGCGGAGGGGAGAUCAUUUGGGUCCUCAUAACUUGCCUGGUCAUUUGCAUUUGCGAGAGCAUGUGGGUUUUGGUGUCCAUCCUCGACAUGCAGGGCCUGGGAGCUUUGAAUCAUUUAUUGGCAACAGGGCAAGUCAUCCACGUCUUGGCGAGCCUGGAUUUAGGAGCAGCUUUUCACUUCAGAGAUUUCCAAAUGAUGGAACUUAUACAGGAGAGCUAGAGUCUUUUGAUCACUCAAGGAAAAGGAAACCAGCCAGCAUGGGAUGGUGUCGUAUCUGUAAAGUUGACUGCGAAACAGUUGAGGGCUUGGACGUGCAUUCACAAACAAGGGAGCACCAGAGAAUGGCUAUGGAAAUGGUACAAAGUAUCAAGCAGAAUGCCAAAAAGCAGAAAUUAACCUCUGGUGAUCAGUCCUCGGUAGAGGAUGCAAACAAGUCAAAGAUUUCCAGUUUUGAGAGCCGGGUUGAAAAGCAUUGAUUGGUGAUGGUGUGUUGCAAGUGGGGAUCUUUUUGGUUGCAUUUGGGUGGGGUCCUCUUAGUUUCUUUGGUUUUAUUGCGAUAGCAAUAUAGGUGAUGCACCCUUCCAUGCCUCUUUUUUCUUCUUUCGGGGUGGUUUAUGCUAGCUUUGUCCUUUCAGGUUGCUGCCAUGUUAAUGGAGAUGGUAUUUGGAACUGAAGUUCAAUGGCAAAAACGUAGCUGAGACGCAUCAACUUAUUGGCAUCUUUCUUUUUGUCCAACUCGUUUAUCAAUCUGUUACUUUUGUUUCUUAGACUUAUUAUGUUGAAAAGGUGGAAAUGUUCUUAAUGUAAUGGUUUUUAGAAUGAGUGGAUUCUGGAACGUUCAUGACCUUUGACUAUUUUAAUGAGAAGUCGAGACGAUGGAAGAUGAUAAAACCUCUCAUGAAUCCAUGAAUACUUAGCAUGAUAACUUUGCAGAUGCUAGGCAUUAUCGCUAAACAUUAAAACUCCCUAUAAUGUACUAAGCUUCUUCUUUAUGGUAUAUAACUUUGUACUAUCACCAUUCUUUGUACUAUCACCAUUAUUGACAUUACAUUAACAACAUUGCCUAUCAAGUUUUAAUGUUUAGGCUGGCUGACUUGCUAUCAUGCAUAUUGUAGGUAGAGAUAUAUAUAGAUUUAAUUAGUCAACUUGAUAUUUGGUAUUUAACUCAUACAAAAUAGAAUUGACCAUUUAAAGUAGAUUAGUUAUAAGUCAUGUUAUAUUGUAAUUGAAGAGAUAAAAGAGGUUCUGUAAAGGGGAUAAAAGUCGGCAACUAAUAAUUGUCAAUAUCUAGUAAGGAGUUGUUGCGAAGUCAAUUAUUGGAGAACAUCUAAACUAUGUAGAUUAUAGGGAAUUUUGCAUGUUAAAUCCCCAAAAAAGUGAGGAAGAGUUUAAGGAGUUGGUGUAUUCUAGAGACUGUUCCUGAUUUCACUUGUACUACAGCACUGUAUCCCAUUUUGUUAUCUAUAUCAGUCGCCUGUGAAUCAACAUUUCUUUUGCUCAUAAAUUGCACUAUCAAACAGAUAUCGGUUCUACUUGUCUGAAGGUGGUGAACACAAUUUAACUAUAUAAACUGUGAAUGAUAACUAAUUCUUCAGCUUAGUUGUUGUGCUGACUAGUGAUAUUGGAUAGGGAGGGUGCCUUCAACAUAGGAUCAAUUAAUUCUACUUUUUCUAGGGCAGACAUAUAAGCUGCUGUCUAGUUGCUGUAAUCCACACUAGAUAGAAAAAAGAGAUGCAUACAUAAACAAGAAAGAGAAAGCAAGCAAUAGGAUUGGAGUUAGGUAGUGGAUAGAGGAGUUAUCGGGCAAUGAAGCCCGAUAAUAGGCUAAUAGCAAUUUGAUUUGUCUGCCACUAAAAAAUUCUCUUAAUAGGGUAUGUACAGCAACCCAUACAUCUGAGCCGUAAGGAUACAUAAACAAAAGAGAGAUAGAAAGCAAUAGGAUCAUAAUUAGACUGUUGUUAAAAAAGUUAUACGGCAAAGAAACCUGAUAAUAGCAAUAUGAUUUAUCUGCGAUUGAGAAACUCUCUUAAUAGGUUAUGUAUAUACUAGGUUACAGCAACCCUUGCAUCGUAGCCCUAAGGAUUACUUAAAUAAAAGUCUUUUAUCAGUCCUCACAUGGCCUUCUUAUGAUCAUUCAAAACAAAGUGGGAGCAUAAUUAUCAACUACCAAUUAACAUAAAACAUAAAAAUCAACCAAGACAAAUAACAUUUAACUGAAAAGUGAACCCAAACCAGCUAGAACCUAAACCAAGUUUGCUACCUGGCUCCUUGUAUAUCCUCCUGCUUCUUACCUCGUAAGUGGAGGUUAUUAGGUUUACAUACAGUGAAGGCGUCCUGUGAUACAGUUCAUAUGGAGUUCUAUUUUUAAGUUGAUGAUAUUUGCCUUUGCUGCUGACUUGAGCAUCAAUUUCAUUAAACUAUCAUAUCAUUAUUAAGCUUCUUUCAUUGAUUUUAUGGUUAAUUUAUUUUUUGGUGCACUUUUUUUGUUCUUUUUUUUAUUAAUAGAUCUUUUCAAUUCGACCUGUCUUUUUUCGGCGAAGCAGACUUCAUAAGGGCUGAAAGUUAGCAGAAAGGUUUACUCUGUCAUCUGUUUUUUAUGUGGUAAGAUUGUUUUCAAUCUACAGAAUUUGUUUCUGCAGAAUUUGCUUCUUAGUAUUGAUUUUACUAAUUUGGUGAUAUGUUAGGGAUUCUAUCUGUUUCUACAUAUUUAUGAUUGAGUAUACUGCUUUCCAUCCCGCUCUAGGAUAAUGUUGGAAACCUAGUAGGCUUUUAACUCCUGUCUAUCAUCACUAGUCAUACUAGAUACUAGCUUUGAGAAGUGAUAGGUUCGAUUCUAAGAUGUCUUCGAUGGUUGGGAAUCAAAAUACCUCUUAACACGUUUUUUUAGUGAGUGUUUGAAGGCCAUUUCUCUUGUAUGAUUUCAAUUCUGUUGUUUUUGUUGCUUGGAUGAUGUCUCUAUGUCAGUCUUUUAACCUAUAUGCAAUCUUAUGCUCUUUUGCUUUGACUGCAAAUUCACUAUCUUGGACUAUGCAAUCUUCUUGAUUAUUAACAUCUUGAAUGAUACAAAACAACACCAAACAGAUUGGUUUGGUAUUGGUUUGUGCAAUAUCUUGGUCUAAGCAAUCCUAAAUUCUAGAUUAUCAAUGCCUUAGAUAUUAUGAAUUAAUGGGUUAAGGGAACCUAGAUCCCCAACGUUAAAUAUUUCGUGAAAAAUUCAAAAUUUUUAUUAGGCCAUUUGUUUCUGAUAUAAGAAGGUAAAUUGCUUCAAAUCACAUCAUAAUAAUAAUGGCUAUAAACUUUGCCUUGGAGUUUUGAAAGUAUCACUUAUCAAAGAGUGAUACAUGUCAAUAGAUCUCAAAUUGAAGUGUAGAAUCUCUAGAUCUCAAAUUUAACAAUAGAAUCUUGGUUCAAAACCUUUCCUUGCUGCUUGUUAUAUAUAAUGCUCCUCUUGAUGCUGAACUUUUUUAUUAUUAUUAUUUUUUUUUUUGCAAAUAUUCAUUUUGUGUGUGAUUAUGGGGGAGCCUUUCUUGAUGUUGGCAUCCAAUUCUGAAACUCUAAUUAUGAUUAUUUUGUUUACCGGGUUUGUGGCCCUUAGUUCAUUUAUUUAUUAUUUUUGUAUGGUGUUUAUGUGUAGACCUGUGACUAAUGUUUCGAUAUCCAAAUAGUCCCAUUAUCAGCCAUUAAAAAAAUGUUAAAAAUAAUGUUAGUAUAGGAGAUAAGCCUCAUGGUUAAAAUCCUUGAUGGAUCGUACUGAGUGGCCGAUCAAUAGCCCAAAUGUGAAGAACACUUUUUAUGAUCAUUCUCUUAAGAACAAUACUCAAGGAAAAGAGCUAUGGUGAACACUAGAUUAUUCAAUAAGUUCCGGAUGAAGUACACGGAGGGUUGAGGGGUAGCGAUCUCUAAGUUCAAACCUAUGAGUAGAAAAUUAUUGGCAACGAACAAAGUGGAUAAAUAAUGUUCAUAAAGACUACAUAGGGAUGCAGUAGCUGAUAACAUGGUUAAUGGUUUACAUGGGUUGGGUGGACAUCGUGACUGAUUGAUUCCUUACUGUUAACGUCAAAAUAUAGAUUGCUUACUGUUUUUGCAAGUGUAGCUAGCUUAUUAUUCAAGGGUGUCUGUGGGUCUCGGCGAGCUGUAAUGAGACGGAUCAGCUGUGGAUGUUCCUUACCUUCGAAACUUAAUCCCUUUCAAGGCCCCGCGCUUCUGCUGCAGCUUUAAUACAAUCAUUUGUAUCUGUAUGUUUGUAUGUAUGUAUGGGAAUGAUGUAAUUGUGGCCUUCAACGACGGCCUUACUAGCAGUAUCUCCAUGAGAUAAAACUUUUGAGUAAAUAAAUGAAAUUAUUUU